rnacentral:rRNA from 1 species
CACCGCGGUUAUACGAGAGGUCCAAGUUGAUAGCAUACCGGCGUAAAGAGUGGUUAGGGAGAACAAAACAAACUAAAGCCAAACACCUUCAGAACUGUUAUACGUACCCGAAGGCAUGAAGAACCACCACGAAAGUGGCUUUACUAACCCUGAACCCACGAAAGCUAUGUAA